rnacentral:tRNA from 1 species
UCCCCCUUAGUUCAGUCGGUAGAACGGCGGACUGUUAAUCCGUAUGUCGCUGGUUCAAGUCCAGCAGGGGAGCCA